rnacentral:tRNA from 1 species
CGGGGCGUAGCCCAGUUUGGUAGAGCGCUUCCUUGGGGUGGAAGAGGUCGUCGGUUCAAAUCCGGUCGCUCCGACCA